rnacentral:rRNA from 1 species
GACGAACGCUGGCGGCGUGCUUAACACAUGCAAGUCGAACGGUAAGGCCCUUCGGGGUACACGAGUGGCGAACGGGUGAGUAACACGUGGGUGAUCUGCCUUCACCUCGGGGUAAGCCUGGGGAACUGGGUCUAAUACCGGGUAGGACUCCGGACCGCAUGGGCUGGGGGGGGAAGGCUUUGCGGGGUGGGGUGGGCCCGCGGCCUAUCCGCUUGUUGGUGGGGGGAUGGCCUACCAAGGCGACGACGGGUAGCCGGCCUGGGAGGGUGAACGGCCACACUGGGACUGAGAUCCGGCCCAGACUCCUACGGGAGGCAGCAGUGGGGAAUAUUGCACAAUGGGCGCAAGCCUGAUGCAGCGACGCCGCGUGAGGGAUGACGGCCUUCGGGUUGUAAACCUCUUUCAGCAUCGACGAAGCGAAAGUGACGGUAGGUGCAGAAGAAGGACCGGCCAACUACGUGCCAGCCGCCGCGGUAA